AAGCAGCCAAUCCCAACAAAGGCUUUUGAUCAGCUACAUCACAACUGUGGCUUUCCCAUGCCUGGUGAUCCUGUGUAAUUCCUGCAUGCUAGGGCUGGUGGUGUUUAAGCUCUGGCAGGUGCGAGCAGGUAGUGGAGGCACUGGAAGCAGCAAUAGCUGGAAGAAAAUGAACAAAGAGAAAGGGAUCAAGUUAUGGAAGGACUGUGCCACUGUGCUGGGACUCAGCUGUAUGCUGGGUUUACCCUGGGUGCUAUUGAGCACCACCUACAUCUCCAUCCUUGGGAUCUACAUAUUCACCAUACUUAACUCCCUGCAGGGUUUAUUUAUGUUCCUGUGGUCCGUGGCUUUGAUCUACAAGUCUCGAUCUGACAAUAACUCCUUAACCAGAGACCCCUCCUCUCAGAAAGUGAUGACUACAAGUUUCAAUAACUGAUAUUCAUCCCUGAAACUAUUAUCCAUUACCUAUAUUAGGUAUUUACUGGACUUUGAACUCGAGUCAGUUUUUAGAUGAUAACUAACGAUACCCUCAUCAGCUGAUGUCUUGCAACUUCCUCAAAGAAAGAUUGCAUGGGCAAACAUGAACAGUAACCCUUUUUUAAGUAUUUAUUGUCAUUAUGAUUCUCGCGGUGACAGGAUCAUUAUGGACAGGAAAAGAUUAUCAGUGUUGAAUCACUGAAAAAGAAAAAGAAAAAAAACUUUGUGUCCUUUGAGCAUAAUAAUACAUGUCAUGAUAAGGAGGACAACAUCAGCUCCAUACACUUCAAGACACAGUGGUUUGCACGUAUUUGUCACAUUUGUUGCAGAAACUGUACCUGGAGACCAAAACACAAAAUUUCACAAAACAAUGUAAUAAUAAGCACAAAGUAUGAAGAACAAGGUGUAUUGAGGAAAUGACAAAAAGUCCAGAACAGAUAGCUAGACUUGUGCUGCAUUGACCCAUAAGAAGGAACACCGAUAGCAUGCAUUGUAAACUCUUACAGCUACCAGUGGAGAAAAGGCUUGUCCGAAGCACAGCCACACUCUUCAGUAAUAGCAAUUAUUCUGCAAAACCCAAGUUUUUAGACAGUCAAAUUACCAAAUUUGGUAACUGUCAUUUCACCAAAACAGCAUGCCAUAUCAUGUUAUCUUACCCCAAAUCUAGUGCUUUAAAAAGGACAGUCAUUUAUCAUGCCAUCAGUGUUUGUAAUAGCUGCCCCUUUACACCAAUAGUAGAUCCCUAUUUAGACGUCAUUUAGGAUUGCAUUAUUAAGCAGCUGAUCAAAGGUCACAACUUGCUCUUGGUCUCUGGUUUAGCCUUUGAGGCUAAUACAUGGACUGAUCACAAGCUUCUGCUUUCCUCUGUGAACUUCUACAACCACUUCAUGUAACAUAAACCAAAGUGCAUAAGCAAUGGAAUUAAGGUAGAACAGAUAUGAUGUUGUAUAUAGCGUCUUUUGUGAUCAAUGGUGCAUCACAAACACACCUGUGUAUAUAUUGAGAUGAUUUCAAUAUGAUGUACUGGAUUUUGGACCCCAGGAGGAUUAGAUGGUGUCAUUGGCAUCUGCUAAAGGGGCCCAGUUUAAUAUAUACAUCAGCAAGUUAUUUUUUUUCCCCAGUAUGUCAAAAUGUAUUGUCUGAAUUCUUCUUUAUAAUGGUAAUUUUCCCCAUUGAUUGUAUACACAAACAGAAUCAAAUAUCCUUUAUUAAACUCAGACUACUGCAAUUUACUAAAAUGUCCCAAUCACACCAGACAAUCCAAAGUAUACAAAUAAAUAACAUGUAACCAGCUUU